CCGGCACGCUCCCCGGGUCGCCUCCUCGGUGGCUCCAGCCCCGCAUUGCUCAAUCUGGCCUUGCCACGUGGGAGCUGCCGAGUCCGCAGCCAGAGGCUAAGUGGCACCCGAGGAGGAGGGAAAAAAUGUGUCAGCGCCUCCGCCCUCAAGUCACACACACGGAAUCCCAACCAUUCAGGAGGCAGUUUGAAAUGACCAGCCCCCUGCUAGACUUGCAUCAGGCUAGGACCAUGGGGAUCUUCACUGACUCCUAGAAACCAGAUCCCACGUCGGACACAGCAAAGCCCCCUUGGACCCUGGGGAAUCGAUACAGGUGGAUGCUGGGAACCAAACAUGGGUCCUCUCGAAGAGCAGCCAGUGCUCACUGAGCCAUCUCCACAGCUCCAUGAUAAACCUUAAUAAAGGAGGAAGAGGAAGGAGAGAAGGGAGAGGAGGCGGUGUCAGCAGUCGCUACUUGCCUGUCAGGAAAAGAGCCCUCUCCAGGAAAUCAAAUUCUCUGAUACUUUCAUCUUGAAUGCUCAAGCUAUGAAAAAUAAACCCCCACACACAGUUUAAGCCA